rnacentral:rRNA from 1 species
ACGGAGGAUGCAAGCGUUAUCCGGAUUUAUUAGGUAUAAAGGGUGCGUAGGCGGACCUGUUAGUCAGUGGUGAAAUACUACGGCUUAACCGUAGAACUGCCAUUGAUACUGCAGGUCUUGAGUACAGUUGAGGUAGGCGGAAUGUGUGGUGUAGCGGUGAAAUGCUUAGAUAUCACACAGAACACCGAUUGCGAAGGCAGCUUACUAAGUUGUAACUGACGCUGAUGCACGAAAGCAUGGGGAGCAAACAGGAUUAGAUACCCUGGUAGUCCAUGCCGUAAACGAUGAUCACUCGCUGUACGUCCAUUAGGAUGUGUGGCUGAGCUAACGCAUUAAGUGAUCCACCUGGGGAGUACGGCGGCAACGCUG